AGGAAUUGGUAGUGGGUGGUUGGUUUGAGUAGUAUAGCGAGUAUAGAGGAUGUAAACGAGGAAAGGGUAAGGAGAGGACGGUAGAGGAAGAGAUAAAGAGGAUUAAGGAGGUAUGAGUAGUUCAAAUUACGGAGAUGUAACGAAGCUAAAAGUUUGGAAUUGGGAGGUUGAGUGUGGGGGAUGAAAAUGAGUUUAAGAUAGGAAGGUAAAGGAAAAGAAUAAAAUACAAAUUGCGUUGUAUAACGUUUCUGCCAUACCCUUUUUAAGUGGGAUGAAGUAUAGUGAGGGAGGGUUGAAAAGGAAGGAAGAGUUGACUGUGGUAUUCGAGGUAAGUGUCAUACCCUUUCCAAGUGGGAGGUAGAGAUACGUGGGGGUAAAGACUGAGGUGAGUAGGAAGGCGGUAAGGGGAAGAAGGGUAUAAGGAGAAAGA